GACGUAGGGCGCGAGCGUUGUCCGGAUUUAUUGGGCGUAAAGAGCUCGUAGGCGGUUCGGUAAGUCGGGUGUGAAACCUCCAGGCUCAACCUGGAGACGCCACCUGAUACUGCUGUGACUGGAGUCCGGUAGGGGAGCGUGGAAUUCCUGGUGUAGCGGUGGAAUGCGCAGAGUAUCAGGAGGAACACCGGUGGCGAAGGCGCCCACUCUGGGCCGGUACUGACGCUGGAGGAGCGAAAGCGUGGGGAGCGAACAGG
rnacentral:rRNA from 1 species